rnacentral:rRNA from 1 species
AACGAACGCUGGCGGCAGGCUUAACACAUGCAAGUCGAACGCCCCGCAAGGGGAGUGGCAGCCGGGUGAGUAACGCGUGGGAACAUACCCUUUUCUACGUAAUAGCCCUGGGAAACUGGGAUUAAUACCGUAUACGCCCUACGGGGGAAAGAUUUAUCGGGGAAGGAUUGGCCCGCGUUGGAUUAGCUAGUUGGUGGGGUAAAGGCCUACCAAGGCGACGAUCCAUAGAUGGUCUGAGAGGAUGAUCCGCCACAUUGGGACUGAGACACGGCCCAAACUCCUACGGGAGGCAGCAGUGGGGAAUAUUGGACAAUGGGCGGAAGCCUGAUCCAGCCAUGCCGCGUGAGUGAUGAAGGCCUUAGGGUUGUAAAGCUCUUUCACCGAUGAAGAUAAUGACGGUAGUCGGAGAAGAAGCCCCGGCUAACUUCGUG